UUUCUUUCGCUGCAUUCGACGAUCAUUGUCUCCGCCACACGACAUGCUUCUUCAUCAACUCCAUCGCACCCAAAAAGUUAAGUGUUCCUCUACUCAUAGUUCAUUAUUAUUACUCCCUCCGUUCCUUGAUAUAAGCCAACUUUACUGGUGCAGUGGACAACAGUGGACCCUACAUUACUGGUGGGGUUGGUUUCGUUGUCCGAAAAGAAGUGAACUAAUUCAACUUUCCGAUGAGAGAAUCUGUCCAGGGCUGGAGAUUGAAGUGGUUCUUUCUUAGGGAUCCAUCGGCACCUGGAUGAAGCACAUGAAGUUUGUUGAUGUGCUCAAAGCAACGCCGAGGAAAUCUUGGAGGAACAUACUGACUGCCGAAGAAAGGAUAACAACCGACAAGUUGUAUGACAGAAUAUUGGAGAUAAAAGAUGCUGAUGGUCAAACAAUGAUUGGCACUAAGGUUGUUGAUGUAUUUCUGAAGCACCGCAUCCAGCCAGUUAUGUCUAGAGCUCACCAAAUAUGGCUAUAUUUGGGUCCCAAGGAUGAGACUGGAGUCAAUGUUGCGGAGUUGUCGGAAAAAAACUGCUAGAUGAAGUCAGGCGCUUGACUUAUUUUAGCCAAGAAGAUUAUAUUCCCUUGUUGCCUCUCCAAGAUCCGUAUGAAAUUACUCACCAACCAGCUCAGGUCCCUGUAACUGAUAAAUAUUUCCCAGCUGUAUCCGAGGUUGAGGAAGACCCUGAAGAUGGUGACUCCAUCGUCAAUGUGUAAUCUCAUGUAGAAGUAGCCGAACACAGCGAGACCUCCAAAAAGGAGGACAAUAGCCCUUUCAACCCCGAAGACCCUUCUGCCGAAUAUCAUAAAAUCCUCGAUGAUGAAUUAACCGUUACAGCGGAGUCGAGUCAACAUGACAAUGAUGUUGAUCGCGUUCCUUUUGUUGAUGCAGUUCCGGGGACGUCUGCUGCCUAGCCGCCGAAGAGGUCAUCAGGAUGUUUUGCCGAUGAAGAUGAGCUGCUCUUCGAAUCAUAUUAAGGAAACAUAUAGCCUCCUUCGAAGAAGGCAAAAACUAGCUCAAGCAAACUAGCUCCUGCCACGACCGAAGCUCCAUCUUCACCAAAGGAAGUGCCAACUGCUUCCUCUUUCCCGAAGGGAAAAGAAAUUCCUUCGGCAGCUGCCUCUUCCCCUUCGGCUCCUGAAGAGCAGCCCAUCCAAGCUGCCGUAACAAUAAUAAAGGAUUUUGCUUCCCGAUUCAGUCUCCUUCAAGCUGAGAAUGUUCCGCUUCAGCAAAACGCCCAAUCGAAGUCUGCCCAGCUUGACCAGGCAGUUAAGAUGGCAGCUAUCGCUAGUCAACAUGCCGAUACAUUGAAGAAAGAGCUUGGCCAGCUGAAGAAGAAACUGAAGGAGGAGGAAAAGGAAAAAAAGCGGAGGCCCAGGUCCAGGCGAAAGAGAAGGAGGAUAAUCUUCGCAACUCCGUCAAGUCCCUACUGGGAGCUGCUGAUAUCCGAGCAAAUACUGUAGGCGAGCUCCCAGCUGAUUCUGCUGCCGACGCUAUUUCCUUAGCGGUCGACUCCGGUGAACUUGUCCGAGUUCUUCUUCAGAAUAAUAAGGCAGUACUGUCGAGGUUCCAUGCUAUGAUCUUCCCGAAGGCAGAUCAGAACAAGACUCUAUGGCAGCUGGUGGAUACUUUUUUGUCGACACCGAGGGAAUCAUCGAGGUAUUGAAACGUACCUCUCGUACCUACGACGCUCUUCUUGCCUUCCAUCUUUAGAUGGGGUAUGGCUUCAAGGCCGAUAUGGAAGCACUGACAACGGAGCUGCCGAAAGAUCAAGAUGGGAUGGCUAUUGACCUUAGCCCUUUUAGUGUGCUAGCUUGCAAACGCGUGGCAACUUCUUGAUAUAGUAGGGGCUAACAAGCCAGCUACCGGUGGAGCCGCCCCAAGCCUAUCGACUCAAACCCAGGCUCCUUAAAAGAUUUUCUGUCGAAUUGUAACCGAUACUUUAUUUCAAACAAUGGCUUUUCUAAAGCCUUAUUUUGUAACGAAUUUGAACUGGCAAUAUUGCUAGUUCUU